UAACCUGCCCAAGAGAUCGGGAUAACACCUGGAAACAGAUGCUAAUACCGGAUAACAACAGAUGAUGCCUAUCAACUGUUUAAAAGAUGGUUCUGCUAUCACUCUUGGAUGGACCUGCGGUGCAUUAGCUAGUUGGUAGGGUAACGGCUACCAAGGCGAUGAUGCAUAGCCGAGUUGAGAGACUGAUCGGCCACAUUGGGACUGAGACACGGCCCAAACUACUACGGGAGGCAGCAGGC
rnacentral:rRNA from 1 species